AAUUCCGUAUAUUCCGUUAUAAAAUCAUUCCGCGUUAAGACGAAGCCGCUAUGAUAACGUUCUGCGUUAACAUGAGUCCGCGAGGACGGCUGAAUACGCUGUAGUGGCCAUGCCAGACCAGUAGCUGGCGAUGUAGAGCUGUAGUGAAACAGUGGCGGUAAAACAUGCGCCUGCGCACAAACGAUUUCCGGUUUAGACAGCCUUUAAAUCAGGAGAAGAAGAAGAAGAAGAGGCGGGCAACACUAUUUACAAACAACAAUGGCGAGUGGUCGUACAAAGACGCAGGACUUCUUUGUCUGGACAGACGACGAAGUUGGGUUGUUGCUGGAUGUGGCCCUGAACUACAAAACAACCAAAUGGCAGGAGAAUGUUGACUGGGAAUCUUGCCAGUCGAAGUACGCCGACAUUUUGGGGGACUUUGUGCAGCAAUACCCGGCGAGCACCACUGCAGGAGGGAAGGACUUCCCUCAUCAUAAAUACGGCAUAACAAAAAGUCAGGUAACUUCGAAAUUAAAGGCCAUUCGGGCGAAGUACCGUAAGGCCGUGGACACCGGACGGCGAAGUGGCCACGGACGUGUUGUCUACAUAUUUUUUGACAAAUGUGAACAAAUUUGGGGUGGGUCGCCUGCUACAAACGCCUUGGAGGCUGGUAUCGAGUCUGAGGACAUGCUGUCCAGCUCCGAGGGCCCCUCCACCUCCAGCAGAUGUUCGACUCCAGCUGCACAAAUGCCUCCGGUGUUGGAUCCGGUGCCGAGUCCUGACGAUGAGAACGUGAGCUUCCAGCUCCCACCAGAGGUUGUUGGUCGACGCGACAUGCUCCAAACAAGGCUUCUUAACAACAGAAGGAAUCGGCUGAAGCACAAGCUUCAUGGAGACCCAGCUGUGCAGGAGGAUCUCAUCCUGAAGAAGCGAAUGGUGGACCUGCUGGAGGAGUCAGAGAGGAGGACCAGCGAAAGGCUGGACAGGAUCACAGACAAUAUAGCCACCAUCACAAAGACAAUUACUGAUGUGCUGCAUCAUAUGAUGAUGCAGCCAAACCCCUUUCCCUUUGCUGGCAGCAGUUUUAUGAGGAGAAAAGCAGAUCUCCAGCUCCUGCCUACGGAUAAAGAAAAUGUUGAAACUAUAAAGAAAGAGGAGAGCCCUAGUCCACGCCAGGGGGACCUAAAGCCCCCCCACAUUAUAAACGAAGAGGAGAGCUCCAGUCCACACCAGGAGGAUCUAAUGCCCCCCCACAUUAUAAAGGAAGAGGAGAGCUCCAGUCCACACCAGGAGGAUGUAAAGCCCCCCCACAUUAUGAAGAAAGAGGAGAUGGAGUUAACCAUCCCACGGCUUGAUCCGGAAUUAGAUCUACCCCCCCUCACUGAUAUUAAGACUGAAGAUUCUUCUGACACAGGUGACAGUGAAGAUUGGAAAUAAAGCCGGUCCUGUGAACACAGGAGCAGAAGGAUCAGAACCGCCAUCACAGAGGAUACAUGAAAGGAAUGUCGAAGGACUCGAACCAUCAGCCCUGUUAUAGCAUUUUGUUUUGGUUAGUUUUAUAAAACUACCUGUGUUCCUUCAGCUGUGACAGAUGUGACAUUCUUUACAUAAAUCCCUUGUCACCUCUGGAGAUAAAUAAAACGUAAAUAAGAUCACCU
ensembl:lncRNA